rnacentral:misc_RNA from 1 species
ACCACCCUUUGCCGUAAUUGCCUGCAGAUGUAAUCAGCAGAUGAUAGUAAUUAACAAAAUAAAUGUGGCUCUAAAUAGUUUGCUAAAAAGGAAAGAAACCACCCUCUCUACGUAUGAUAAAAGCAAUUUACAGGCGUCUAGGAAAUCUGCCACAGCUUUUAGCAGCAAUAAGAUAAAACUAAAAAGAGCUUAUGAUUCAAAACUAGAUGAAGCACAUGACUAGUCUAAAUAACUUAAGCAAGCAUAUUAUAAUGUAAAAAUUUCCUUCUCUCUACCAAUUCUGAAAUCAAUACUAGGUAGAAUCAUUCAAAGGAAAGAAUAGUAGAAUUAGCAUUUAGCAUCCAAUACAAA